GUGGCUAGAGAUCCACUAUUUCGAGAACUAGAUACCAUCUGUAAUCAGAUUUAUUUUUCUUGAUAUAUUUUUUUAUAUUUGAAUUUGAUGUAAUAAAAUAUAAAAUCCUUUUAUUCUGAAUAUUUAGAUAUUUUUCUUUAGAUUUUCCUCCUUUGAAUAGCCUAUACUAAGUGGGGAUAAGCCGUGAUCUAUGGGUACGGUUUGUACUCUCU
rnacentral:lncRNA from 1 species